ensembl:lncRNA
CGAAUAGCUGCCUUAGCUGCAACUGAGUUUGCUGGCCUUACUGCCCUGCGGGGAAAUGGUGUUUGCUUUGGGAUGGCCUGCUGGUGUGGGGAAAGGUCGUGACAGGGUGAGUCGAUGUCUGAAGGGCAGCAGCACGUGAACCGGCCACGCGCUAUCAGCACAGAGAGCUCAGGUGGAAUCCCUCCGGAGCUGCAGCAGGGCAGUGCUGGAGUGCGGAGGUGACCCAGAACCGGAGCUGAGGGCUGACCUGGGGAGCUGCAGGCUCUGAGCUGGUUGUGUAGGAGGGUGCUGUGCUGCCUCCUGCAUCUCAUGCUCAUCCCGCAGACAAACCUCCGCCUCGAUGGCUGCUGCUGUUUUCUUCCUGGUUGCCGGAAGACGUGUUCCCACAGGCCUAGCUGGGUUUUUGUGCUUCAUGCCUUAAUUGCUUCAUCCUUAUCUGGAAAUGAAUUUGGAGAAGUACAGCUAAAACAAACACCCAGUCUUGUUCUUGGAAACACCAAUGUCUGUUUGCCAGACGUGUCUGUGACCUUCCAGGUUAAUGAGCAACGCUCUGAGGCAAUGUGGGGUUGCGCCUCUCCCCUGGUUGGGCACCAAAGGGGAAGUCAGGUAGGUGGAGGCCUGGAAAAUGCCAUGGGGAAUGGGUUCAGCUCAGGGUGAGCAGGGUCUCUGGAUGAUGGGCAGGUGUAGGGCCAUCUCUACGGGCGUUCUUUCACAUUCAAAGCCUCAGGCCAACAGUAAGUUUUAAAAUAAACAAUAGAUCUAAUUUGCUGCCUCAGGAAGCGUCAGUCAAGCGAAGUUACGUUUGCAGUGUAGUGUGAUAGAUCGACCUUAUGGGUUUAUUUCAGAAUUUUAAAGCUGUGUGUCCGUAUCUGGAUUAAACAGUCCCAGCAAAUGGGUUUUAUCUCAGUACACCACAGUGGAUUCAGGCAAGUAGGGUGGAUUUGGCUUGUAACUGCUUAACCACUGCAGUUCUGCUUGUGGAUGGUUUGUUUCGUUGUGUUUUUCAAGAGAGUGGUUCUUCCCAGGCUGCAGGAAAGCACCACUUCUGGUAUGUGGGUUAAUGAAGGGCUCGGUAAGACCCAGGGAGCUCUUCUGGUAGCAGUCAAGUGCUCCUUCUAUGUUAAUUAUCACCGUGUUUCUCAGCAAAGUUGGAGAUGCUGCAAAUGCCAGAGAUGAGAUGAGGGGAAACACAUCAAGGCUUUCUUUGCUUCCUGCCUUUGAGCCUGUGAUGGGUUUCUGUGGGUCUGAAGUCCUGCUGUAAGAGCUCGCAGCAGCUGGAAGUGUAAUGCACUGCAGCUCGGUGCCUCCUGAGGCACUCGGGCACAGCCUGGAGGAGUUUAAUGGCACUGAGGAUGGUUUUACCAACGCAUGAACCAACAUGGGCUGAGAGAGCAACUCACAAUACCUUCCUGCAACAGAGAAAGUCCAGUUUCCAUAAUAAAUAAUGAGGAGGCGUUACUUCUGGAGCAACCUGUCUAUUCCUCAGUCAUCGAAGGUGCUGAAAAGCAGAUAAGGCUGCACGCUUGCCUCCUCGUCAGCCACCCCACAGUACUGCUGGUUACACCGCUGGUGAAUGCUAACGUCAAACUGAUUUGCUCCCAAGAAGCCACUGCUGCGUGCUCCUGCAGGGAUGCUGCUGGCUGCCCCCCGCUCUCUGCUGUGCUUUGUGUGCUCCACGGGUGUUCUCUCCCUGAAGCAGUGGUUACGUGGGAUUUGGGGCUCCCUUUCCAACCCCUCCUGCAAAAGGAGAGCACAGAAACAACAGAGGAGUCAUCACGUUGCUGUGAAAAUACACAAGAUGUGUUGUCAGCAAUAGCUGCAGUGAUUGCUCGGUGGUGUCCAGAACCAGAGAGAAGGAAAGAUCUUCAGACCAAGAUGGAAACAGCCGGGGUUCCUUGGAAGAGCUGAGCCUUGAGAGCAGGACUAAGACUUCGAAAGACGGUGAUGGCCGUGGCACCUCCUCCUGGGUUGAGUUUAUCUGUAUUUUAUCCACAGGGUGGCACAUGGACCUUCCUGGGGAGAUCUGAAUGGUAUCACAGCGCAAACAGCUUUUGUUCGGGUAGCCGUAGUUCAGGCUGAGGCACAGCUGCCCCAAAAUAGAGCCCAGACAGACAACGCCGAGGAUGGCUCGAGGCUUUGGGAGGACAUGGCAGAGGGAACCUUACCCUGUGUGGGGCACACAGAGCCUCGCCGAUGCUACACCUGCGCAGGAAGGAUAGGGGUGAUUUCCAAAUCAAUGUACCGGUGCUCAUUUUUUGUUUGUUUGUUUGAUUUUUGUUUUCAAAACCUGUGCAGGGCUGCUGGGUUGAUGUCACCACCGCUUUGUCUGGCUUUGGCCUGAGGGGCAGGAGGGAGUCUGGUCACCCCCGUAAUCCCAGCAGCCUCCAAUGGCAACGACAGCGCUCGGAUGAAUGAAGGCAGCAGCACUGUGCAAAUUACCUUUUCUUUCUUAUCCACAGUAAGACAGAUAAUAAUCCUCCUACGGGACUAAUUACAGCCAAUGAAAAUAACUCCCACUGCCAGUAUUUGAAGGAUAACCACUUAGAUGAAAAAGAGUGAAAAAUGAUUAUUAUUUUGUGCGUGGCUCUCUCUCGCCCCAUCUAUUCUGACCUCAGUAAAUCACAGUGUAAUUAAUCACUGAGGAUUAAACACCGCAGGGAAAAGAGUAGGAAAUUAUGUAUAAGCAAAACUUGAAAUGACUUUGACUUACCAUAAAUUUGGGUUAUCUGUCUCACAGAAUACAAUUCCUAGGCUGCCUCUUAUGGAAUAAAUCUAUCCCGACCUGUGUCCAUGAGAACUGUAUGAAUAGUGAAGACUGGAGUAUCGCUGGGUGUGUAAGAAACUAAUCAAAAAAGGCAGUGACUGUGGAAGAUGUGGGUUGGCUCUUCGGGCAUUCCAGCAGCAGAAAAAUGCACAGAGAUCCCUCAGCAGACAGGGUAGGACUUAAGUGCUCAUCUUUAAAGGUGGAAACCAGCCUCAGAGAGACUAGACAUUAAACUUUAUGUUUAACAAAGUGAAAAGAAGAUGUUCACUUAGCACUGAAGGCUAUUAGACACCAAAAAGACAAAGUAAAGGAUGUG